UUGAGCGGCUUACGGUGAAAGUCGUACGGGCCGUUCUUAGGGGGCUUGGUGGGAGUAAUCCCGCCCGGCUACCCGAU
rnacentral:ncRNA from 1 species